GGAUUAGAUACCCUGGUAGUCCACGCUGUAAACGAUGAGAACUAGACGUCGGGCGGAUAACCGUUCGGUGUCGGAGCUAACGUAUUAAGUUCUCCGCCUGGGGAGUACGGCCGCAAGGCUGAAACUCAAAGGAAUUGACGGGGGCCCGCACAAGCGGUGGAGCAUGUGGUUUAAUUCGAUGCAACGCGAAGAACCUUACCUGCCCUUGACAUCCUGGGAAAGCUCUAGAGAUAGAGCCGUGCCUUCGGGAACCCAGUGACAGGUGCUGCAUGGCUGUCGUCAGCUCGUGCCG
rnacentral:rRNA from 1 species